ensembl:lncRNA
AGAGACGGUAUAAUCGGAAGACAGGUUCACGAGUCGAUCUGGAUGCAUUUAAGUGACUUUCGUGGACUGCAAAGACUUUAAGGACACUCUCAUGACUGGCAGUGCAACGAGGUUUCCCAGAGACUAUGGGUUGAGGAGGAAUUGGAAGUUUGUCGGCUUAGACCUGGUGUCAUUCCAUCAGUGUUAAACUUCCCGGCUCAUCUUGGAAGAGUACGUACCAGAAAGACCACGACCAAGCAGCCUUGAGAUCUUAGACAGCGUCUCCCUGAGACCAAAGAACUACAGACUCUUCACAACCUGCUCAAACUCUUGGUACAGGACCUCACCACACGGGUCAAGAAGGUUGCUUUGUAGAACUGUUGCAGAAAACCUCACUAAACCACAUGGAGGGGCCUCAAGAUAGUCGUCCAAAUGAAACCAUACAAAAACC